rnacentral:rRNA from 1 species
GACGAACGCUGGCGGCGUGCUUAACACAUGCAAGUCGAACGAAGUGGCGAACGGGUGAGUAAUACGUGAGUAACCUGCCCUCCUUUUUGGGAUAAGCCUUGGAAACGGGGUCUAAUACCGGAUAGAGGGGGAUGGGCUCGCGGCCUAUCAGCUUGUUGGUGGGGUGAUGGCCUACCUAGGCGACGAUCCCUAGCUGGUCUGAGAGGAUGACCAGCCACACUGGAACUGAGACACGGUCCAGACUCCUACGGGAGGCAGCAGUGGGGAAUAUUGCACAAUGGGCGGAAGCCUGAUGCAGCGACGCCGCGUGGGGGAUGACGGCCUUCGGGUUGUAAACUCCUUUCACCAUCGACGCGGUAGAUGGAGAAGAAGCACCGGCUAACUACGUGCCAGCAGCCGCGGUAAUAC